GAUGAACGCUGGCGGCGUGCCUAAUACAUGCAAGUCGAGCGAACGGACGAGAAGCUUGCUUCUCUGAUGUUAGCGGCGGACGGGUGAGUAACACGUGGAUAACAUACCUAUAAGACUGGGAUAACUUCGGGAAACCGGAGCUACUACCGGAUAAUAUUUUGAACCGCAUGGUUCAAAAGUGAAAGACGGUCUUGCUGUCACUUAUAGAUGGAUCCGCGCUGCAUUAGCUAGUUGGUAAGGUAACGGCUUACCAAGGCAACGAUGCAUAGCCGACCUGAGAGGGUGAUCGGCCACACUGGAACUGAGACACGGUCCAGACUCCUACGGGAGGCAGCAGUAGGGAAUCUUCCGCAAUGGGCGAAAGCCUGACGCAGCAACGCCGCGUGAGUGAUGAAGGUCUUCGGAUCGUAAAACUCUGUUAUUAGGGAAGAACAUAUGUGUAAGUAACUGUGCACAUCUUGACGGUACCUAAUCAGAAAGCCACGGCUAACUACGUG
rnacentral:rRNA from 1 species